rnacentral:snRNA from 1 species
AUAUCUUUCUCGGCCUUUUAGCUAAGAUCAAGUGUAAUAUUUGUUCUUAUCAGUGUAAUAUUUAAUAACCUGAAUCUAUGGAUUUAAGGAUGAGCUUUAUGUUUGCCCUGAUAUUAAUUUUUUAAGGGAAGGACCCAUGGUAGCUUGCCAUUAAUUUUUUAAGGGAAGGACCCAUGGUAGCUUGCCACUCUGGGUUCCCUUUGUGUUGCCUUUGCUUUGCACUUCCGUGAGGGUGAAAAUUUUUGUU